UCUGAGCAUGUCUAUAUUGUUUGAUUCAG
rnacentral:piRNA from 1 species